UACAGAGGUCUCAAGCGUUGUUCGGAUUCAUUGGGCGUAAAGGGUGCGUAGGCGGCGCGGUAAGUCGGGUGUGAAAUCUCGGAGCUUAACUCCGAAACUGCAUUCGAUACUGCCGUGCUUGAGGACUGGAGAGGAGACUGGAAUUUACGGUGUAGCGGUGAAAUGCGUAGAUAUCAGGAGGAACACCGGUGGCGAAGGCGGGAUCCUGGGCCAGUACUGACGCUGAGGAGCGAAAGCGUGGGGAGCAAACAGG
rnacentral:rRNA from 1 species